rnacentral:lncRNA from 1 species
AGGCUCCUUCAGUCAUGAGCCUCCAGUGUUCACAGCUCAAGAUCUAGCGUGGUCCCACCAAAGCCUCUCACCUUGGCCUGGAUGUGAGAGAAAAGCACCCAUUCUCGUUCCCCACAGGAGGGGAUAUAAUGCCAUAAUACUGAAUAUUUUUCCAAAGACAUUUCUGCUCCAAGCUUCUUCAAUUCAACAAUUCUAUGAGAUAUGAGACAUACAUAUAUUCUCGAUUGGAAAGAGAAGAUGAUUUUUGGUUCUACAAUUCUCACUGCUGACCUGUGGAGAAAGGAUUUUGGAAGAAUUACUGCCCACUGGGUAAUUUCAGG